rnacentral:rRNA from 1 species
GACGAACGCUGGCGGCGUGCCUAAUACAUGCAAGUAGAACGCAGUUGCGAACGGGUGAGUAAAGCGUAGGUAACUGCCUCAUUGCGGGGGAUAACUAUUGGAAACGAUAGCUAAUACCCCAUACUGUGACAUAGAUCUGCGUUGGAUUAGAUAGUUGGUGAGGUAAAUGGCCACCAAGGUGACGAUACAUAGCCGACCUGAGAGGGGGAACGGGCAAAAUGGGACUGAGACACGGCCCAGAAUCCUUCGGGAGGCAGCAGGAGGGAAUCUUCGGCAAAUGACGGAAGGCUGAACGAGCAACGCCGCGGGGGAGAAGAAGGUUUUCGGAGCGUAAAGCUCUGUUGAUAGAGGAGCGGUAACUAACCAGAAAGGGACGGCUAACUACGUGCCAGCAGCCGCGGUAAUUC